GUCGUCAGCUCGUGUCGUGAGAUGUUGGGUUAAGUCCCGCAACGAGCGCAACCCUCGCCUCUAGUUGCCAGCAUUCGGUUGGGCACUCUAGAGGGACUGCCGGCGACAAGUCGGAGGAAGUGGGGAUGACGUCAAAUCAUCAUGCCCCUUAUGACCUGGGCUACACACGUGCUACAAUGGGCGGUACAAAGGGCUGCGAACCCGCGAGGGGGAGCGAAUCCCAAAAAGCCGCUCUCAGUUCGGAUUGCAGGCUGCAACUCGCCUGCAUGAAGCCGGAAUCGCUAGUAAUCGCGGAUCAGCAUGCCGCGGUGAAUACGUUCCCGGGCCUU
rnacentral:rRNA from 1 species